AUGUCACAAGCCAAGAAGACUGGCACAAAUGGUAGUGCUAAAGGAGUUCUUGGUCAUGGUGCCAUGUGCCUGUAAUCCCAGUUACUUGAGAGGCUGUGACAGGAGGGUUGCUUGAACCAAGGUGUUCAAGACUAGCCUGAGCAACAUAGCAAGUCCCGAUCUCAAAAAAAAAAAAAAAAGUUAUAAAAAAAGAUAGGUUCAAAUCCUAGCUAGGGAAAAAAAGAUAGAAGUCACUAGACUGGCAUAUUCUACAAAAGCAUAAUUGCUAGACUUUCUUAUGCGUCCUGCCUUUGUAACUGCUGUUGCCUCUGCCUGAUCUCCUUUCCACCUACUCUUUCCCACAAACUAAUUCAUGUGCUUCAAAACUACUAUUUUUUUCGUAUCAUUUCUAAUAUGGUGCUUGAUGCCUAGAACAUGUAGUCAUCUAUGUAAUGCCCAUUCCCAACAAACUUCCAAGCUUUUGUUAAUGCUGGAAUAAAUUAAUAUAAACCUAAAGUUUAUGAAUUAGUAUAAACCUAAAUGUCUGAAAAUAAUAGACAUGUAGUAUUGUAUUCUUACCUCAAAAUAUGUUGAAUCUUGCCAACAUUAAAUCAACACUGGUGUU
rnacentral:lncRNA from 1 species